rnacentral:rRNA from 1 species
AUACGUAGGUGACAAGCGUUAUCCGGAUUUACUGGGCGUAAAGGGCGUGUAGGCGGUCUUGCAAGUCAGAAGUGAAAUUCCUGAGCUCAACUCGGGCGCUGCUUCUGAAACUGCAGGACUUGAGUGCUGGAGGGGAUAGCGGAAUUCCUAGUGGAGCGGUAAAAUGCGCAGAUAUUAGGAAGAACACCGGUGGCGAAGGCGGCUAUCUGGACAGUAACUGACGCUGAGGCGCGAAAGCGUGGGGAGCAAACAGGAUUAGAUACCCUGGUAGUCCACGCCGUAAACGAUGAGCACUAGGUGUCGGGUCAAAAGGCUCGGUGCCGAAGUUAACGCAUUAAGUGCUCCGCCUGGGGAGUACGUACGCAAGUAUGAAACUCAAAGGAAUUGGCGGGG